rnacentral:rRNA from 1 species
AUUGAACGCUGGCGGCAUGCCUUACACAUGCAAGUCGAACGGUAACAGGUCUUCGGAUGCUGACGAGUGGCGAACGGGUGAGUAAUACAUCGGAACGUGCCUAGUAGUGGGGGAUAACUACUCGAAAGAGUGGCUAAUACCGCAUGAGAUCUACGGAUGAAAGCAGGGGAUCGCAAGACCUUGUGCUACUAGAGCGGCCGAUGGCGGAUUAGGUAGUUGGUGGGAUAAAAGCUUACCAAGCCGACGAUCUGUAGCUGGUCUGAGAGGACGAUCAGCCACACUGGGACUGAGAAACGGCCCAGCCUCCUACGGGAGGCAGCAGUGGGGAAUGUUGGACAAUGGGCGCAAGCCUGAUCCAGCAAUGCCGCGUGCAGGAUGAAGGCCUUCGGGUUGUAAACUGCUUUUGUACGGAACGAAAAGCCCCGGGUUAAUACCCUGGGGUCAUGACGGUACCGUAAGAAUAAGCACCGGCUAACUACGUGCCAGCAGCCGCCGUAA